CGCGGCCUAUCAGCUUGUUGGUGAGGUAACGGCUCACCAAGGCAUCGACGGGUAGCUGGUCUGAGAGGACGAUCAGCCACACUGGGACUGAGACACGGCCCAGACUCCUACGGGAGGCAGCAGUAGGGAAUCUUGCGCAAUGGGCGAAAGCCUGACGCAGCAACGCCGCGUGGGGGAUGAAUGCCUUCGGGUUGUAAACCCCUUUCAGCAGGGACGAAAAUGACGGUACCUGCAGAAGAAGCUCCGGCCAACUACGUGCCAGCAGCCGCGGUAAUACGUAGGGAGCGAGCGUUGUCCGGAAUUAUUGGGCGUAAAGAGCUCGUAGGCGGUUCAGUAAGUCGGGUGUGAAAACUCAAGGCUCAACCUUGAGACGCCACUCGAUACUGCUGUGACUUGAGUCCGGUAGAGGAGUGUGGAAUUCCUGGUGUAGCGGUGAAAUGCACAGAUAUCAGGAGGAACACCAGCGGCGAAGGCGGCACUCUGGGCCGGUACUGACGCUGAGGAGCAAAAGCAUGGGGAGCAAACAGGAUUAGAUACCCUGGUAGUCCAUGCCGUAAACGUUGGGCACUAGGUAUGGGACCAUAUCAACGGGUUCCGUGCCGUAGCUAACGCAUUAAGUGCCCCGCCUGGGGAGUACGG
rnacentral:rRNA from 1 species